GACGAACGCUGGCGGCGUGCCUAAUACAUGCAAGUAGAACGCUGAAGGAGGAGCUUGCUUCUCUGGAUGAGUUGCGAACGGGUGAGUAACGCGUAGGUAACCUGCCUGGUAGCGGGGGAUAACUAUUGGAAACGAUAGCUAAUACCGCAUAACAGUAGAUGUUGCAUGACAUUUGCUUAAAAGGUGCAAUUGCAUCACUACCAGAUGGACCUGCGUUGUAUUAGCUAGUUGGUGGGGUAACGGCUCACCAAGGCGACGAUACAUAGCCGACCUGAGAGGGUGAUCGGCCACACUGGGACUGAGACACGGCCCAGACUCCUACGGGAGGCAGCAGUAGGGAAUCUUCGGCAAUGGACGGAAGUCUGACCGAGCAACGCCGCGUGAGUGAAGAAGGUUUUCGGAUCGUAAAGCUCUGUUGUAAGAGAAGAACGAGUGUGAGAGUGGAAAGUUCACACUGUGACGGUAUCUUACCAGAAAGGGACGGCUAACUACGUGCCAGCAGCCGCGGUAAUACGUAGGUCCCGAGCGUUGUCCGGAUUUAUUGGGCGUAAAGCGAGCGCAGGCGGUUAGAUAAGUCUGAAGUUAAAGGCUGUGGCUUAACCAUAGUACGCUUUGGAAACUGUUUAACUUGAGUGCAAGAGGGGAGAGUGGAAUUCCAUGUGUAGCGGUGAAAUGCGUAGAUAUGGAGGAACACCGGUGGCGAAAGCGGCUCUCUGGCUUGUAACUGACGCUGAGGCUCGAAAGCGUGGGGAGCAAACAGG
rnacentral:rRNA from 1 species